UACGGGAAGGCAGCAGGUGGGGAAGUAGUUGUCACAACUGGGCGAAAGCCUGACUAGGCAGCUAGUGCCGGCGUGUAUGAAGAAGGCCUUAGGGUUGUAAAGUACUUUCAUCGGGGAGGAAAAAACAAAACUAAUAAUUUUAUUUCUUGACGUUACCCGAAAAAGAAGCACCGGCUAACUCCGUGCCAGCAGCCGCGGUAAUACGGAGGGUGCUAGCGUUAAUCAGAAUUACUGGGCGUAAAGAGCACGUAGGUGGUUUUUUUAAAGUCAGAUGUGAAAUCCCUGGGCUUAACCUAGGAACUGCAUUUUGAAACUGAAAUACUAGAGUAUCGUAGAGGGAGGUAGAAUUCUAGGUGUAGCGGUGAAAUGCGUAGAUAUCUGGAGGAAUACCUGUGGCGAAAGCGGCCUCCUAAACGAAUACUGACACUGAGGGUGCGAAAGCGUGGGGGAGCGAAAACAGGGAUUAGAUACC
rnacentral:rRNA from 1 species